AUUGAACGCUGGCGGCAUGCUUUACACAUGCAAGUCGAACGGUAACAGGCCGCAAGGUGCUGACGAGUGGCGAACGGGUGAGUAAUGCAUCGGAACGUGCCCAGUCGUGGGGGAUAACGCAGCGAAAGCUGCGCUAAUACCGCAUACGAUCUAGGGAUGAAAGCGGGGGACCGUAGGGCCUCGCGCAAUAGGAGCGGCCGAUGUCAGAUUGGGUAGUUGGGGGGGUAAAGGCUCACCAAACCAACGAUCUUUAGCUGGUCUGAGAGGACGACCAGCCACACUGGGACUGAGACACGGCCCAGACUCCUACGGGAGGCAGCAGUGGGGAAUUUUGGACAAUGGGCGCAAGCCUGAUCCAGCAAUGCCGCGUGCAGGAAGAAGGCCUUCGGGUUGUAAACUGCUUUUGUACGGAACGAAACGGUCCUGGUUAAUACCUGGGGCUAAUGACGGUACCGUAAGAAUAAGCACCGGCUAACUACGUGCCAGCAGCCGCGGUAACAC
rnacentral:rRNA from 1 species